AUUUUUUUAAAUUUUGUUUAUAUAUUUAUUUAUUUAUUUUGAGAUGAAGUCUCAUUCUGUUGCCUAGGCUGGAGUACAGUGGCACAAUCUUGGCUCACUGCAACCUCUGCCUCCCAGGUUCAAGCAAUUCUCUCAGCCUCCCAAGUAGCUGGGAUUAUAGGCAUAUGCCACCAUGCCAGGCUAAUUUUUGUAUUUUUUGUAGACACAGGGUUUUGCCAUGUUGGCCAGGCUGGUCUCAAACUCCUGACCAGCCCUCCUUGACCUUCCAAAGUGCUGGGAUUAUAGGCGUGAGCCAUUGCACCUGGCCCAGUUCCCUGGGAUACAUGUGUUUUAAUUCAUUUUCUGUUGCUAGUAACAGAAUACCUGAAACUGGGUAAUUUAUAAGGAAAAGAAAUUUAUUUCUUACAGUGAUGGAGGUUGAGAAGUCCAACUUCAAGGCACCACAUCUGGUGAGAGCCUUCAUUCCGAUGACAGCCUUCAUGCUGGUAAGAUUUUCUUCAGAGUUCCAAGGUGGUGCACGGCAUCACAUGGCGAAGGAAAUGAGCGUGCUAGCUCAGGUGUCUCUUCCUCUUCUUAUAAAGCCACCAGUCCCACUCCUGUGCUAGUAACUCUUUAAUCCAUCAACCCAUUAAUCCAUGAAUAGAUUAACCCAUGAGGCCUCUGCCCUCAGGACCCAAUCACCUCUUAAAGGCCUGACCUGUCAAUAUUGCCAUACUGGGGACUCAGUUUCAACAUGAGUUUUGAAAGGGACAAACAUUCAAUCCAUAGUAACAUGAGAGCUUUUCAAAGCCCUUCUUUGUUGAAGUAUGUCCUUCUCCAGCCUCUUUUUUCCCAGGCUUUUUGUUUUUUCUAUUGCUUGUGCAGCUGUUAUCCUUUGCUACAGGUGGCAAUAGCUAAUACAUUUGCCUUUAAAUUUGUUUGACAAACACCACCCUGGAAGUAGCCUCAACUCUGGGGAAGCUCCAAGACAGGUAAAAUACAGCAACCUGCAGCAGGAAAAUGGGCUUCAGUUUUCAAGUCUGCAGCUGAGUUGGGAAGUUGCGGACAGUAACCAGGAUCGCUGUCCUUAUAAGAAGUGGAAGAAACAUCAGAGAGCUCUCCCUCUCCACACACACAGAGGAAAGGCCACAUGGGGACAAGAGAGGGCAACUGUCUACAAAUCUGGAAGAGAGACUUCAGAAGAAACCAGCACUGAUGGCAUCUGAUCUUGGACUUCCAGCCUCUGGAUCUUUUCUGUGUCAUUUCCAGAUCUGCCAGAGCCUGAUCUCAUACACACUGAUGUGGUACAGGAAAUGCCACCUGAAAAUAUGGUACCUUGGCAUUUGAGGAAACAGUAGAAGGAGGUCAUAGAAACUAGAAAGAAUUCCUCCUUGCUCUUUGUCCCCCAAAGGAGCCAUAAAACCUGGGCCGAGUUUCUUCUGAAAAUAAGUUAUAAGAUCCUUAUUCCAGAGGGGUCCUGCCCUGUGCCUGGAGGAAAAGAAUGAAGACACAGAGAUGCCUUGAAGAAUCUGAACAAACAGCCCUUGCUAAGUUCCCCCCAGUUUAUUGACAUUAGAUUAGACCUUUUGUCCUCCAAUUAUACUUCUGUGUUCCUGAAAAUACACAUUUUCCCGUUUUUUCUUUUGUUUGCUUUUUUUGAUCUUCAUUUCUGAAGAUUCCCAUGUCAUGUAAAAUAUAUGUUAAACAAAU
rnacentral:lncRNA from 10 species